GGGGACCAAACAAUCAGUAGAGU
rnacentral:misc_RNA from 1 species